rnacentral:rRNA from 1 species
UACGGGGGGGGCAAGCGUUGUUCGGAAUUACUGGGCGUAAAGGGCUCGUAGGUGGCCAACUAAGUCAGACGUGAAAUCCCUCGGCUUAACCGGGGAACUGCGUCUGAUACUGGAUGGCUUGAGUUCGGGAGAGGGAUGCGGAAUUCCAGGUGUAGCGGUGAAAUGCGUAGAUAUCUGGAGGAACACCGGUGGCGAAGGCGGCGUUCUGGACUGCAACUGACACUGAGAGACGAAAGCCAGGGGAGCAAACGGG